GGAACGUCGACCCAAGUCGGUAGGGGAUAACGUACGACGAAAGUUACGCUAAUACCGCAUACGAUCUACGGAUGAAAGCGGGGGAUCGCAAGACCUCGCGCGAAUGGAGCGGCCGAUGUCAGAUUAGGUAGUUGGUGGGGUAAAGGCUCACCAAGCCGACGAUCUGUAGCUGGUCUGAGAGGACGACCAGCCACACUGGGACUGAGACACGGCCCAGACUCCUACGGGAGGCAGCAGUGGGGAAUUUUGGACAAUGGGCGCAAGCCUGAUCCAGCCAUUCCGCGUGCAGGAUGAAGGCCUUCGGGUUGUAAACUGCUUUUGUACGGAACGAAACGGUUCUCUCUAAUACAGGGGGCUAAUGACGGUACCGUAAGAAUAAGCACCGGCUAACUACGUG
rnacentral:rRNA from 1 species